rnacentral:tmRNA from 1 species
GGGGGCGACUGGCUUCGACGGGUACGAAGAAGAAAUGGCAGCGUGCCCAGGUCCAGAAUCCUGGUAAAACCGUCUGGAAAAUUUUACACGCCAAUACUGAUCUGGCGCUGGCUGCAUAAGCUGAGCUAACGCUCACUUGAUGCACCUCCGGUGAACGAAGCCCGCCUGGGGCGUCGCCACCGGAUCGAAAAUCCGGGCUGGCC